rnacentral:rRNA from 1 species
UACUCUUUAUGGUGGCGACCGGCGGACGGGUGCGUAACGCGUAUGCAACCUGCCUGACACAGGGGGAUAAUCCGAAGAAAUUUGGUCUAAUACCCCAUAAUACCGAUAUAGGCAUCUAUGUUGGUUGAAAGCUUUGGUGGCGUCAGAUGGGCAUGCGUUGUAUUAGCUAGUUGGUGAGGUAACGGCUCACCAAGGCGACGAUACAUAGGGGGACUGAGAGGUUAACCCCCCACACUGGUACUGAGACACGGACCAGACUCCUACGGGAGGCAGCAGUGAGGAAUAUUGGUCAAUGGGCGGAAGCCUGAACCAGCCAUGCCGCGUGCAGGAAGACGGCUCUAUGAGUUGUAAACUGCUUUUGUACUAGGGUAAUUUGCGGUACGUGUACCGUAUUGAAAGUAUAGUACGAAUAAGGAUCGGCUAACUCCGUGCCAGCAGCCGCGGUAAUACGGAGGAUCCAAGCGUUAUCCGGAUUUAUUGGGUUUAAAGGGUGCGUAGGCGGCAGAUUAAGUUAGAGGUGAAAUUCCGAGGCUCAACCUUGGCACUGCCUCUGAUACUGGUUUGCUAGCGAGUAGAUGCUGUAGGCGGAAUGUGUGGUGUAGCGGUGAAAUGCAUAGAGAUCACACAGAACACCGAUUGCGAAGGCAGCUUACAAAUCUA